UACGGAGGGUGCAAGCGUUAUCCGGAUUUACUGGGUUUAAAGGGUGCGUAGGUGGAUUGUAAGUCAGUGGUGAAAUCUCCGGGCUUAACCCGGAAACUGCCAUUGAUACUAUUUGUCUUGAAUACUGUGGAGGUCAGCGGAGUAUGUCAUGUAGCGGUGAAAUGCUUAGAUAUGACAUAGAACACCAAUUGCGAAGGCAGCUGGCUACACAAAUAUUGACACUGAGGCACGAAAGCGUGGGGAUCAAACAGG
rnacentral:rRNA from 1 species